GUGGGAGCGAGCUUGCUCGCGAUGGCAGUGUGUCAGUCAACAUCUGUGUUAUUGACCCACCGCGAUCGCGAGCAAGCUCGCUCCCAC
rnacentral:misc_RNA from 1 species